GCACUGCCGAGGAGUCCCAAAAUAGGACGAAACGGCCGUCCAGUGU
rnacentral:hammerhead_ribozyme from 1 species